rnacentral:rRNA from 1 species
AUUGAACGCUGGCGGCGUGCCUAACACAUGCAAGUCGAGCGGUAACAGGUGUAGCAAUACAUGCUGACGAGCGGCGGACGGGUGAGUAACGCUUGGGAAUCUGCCUGUUAGUGGGGGACAACCCGGGGAAACGUCGGGCUAAUACCGCAUACGCACUACGGUGGAAAGCCGGGGACCGCAAGGCCUGGCGCUAACAGAUGAGCCCAAGUCGGAUUAGCUAGUUGGUAGGGUAACGGCCACCAAGGCGACGAUCCGUAACUGGUCUGAGAGGACGACCAGUCACACCGGAACUGAGACACGGUCCGGACUCCUACGGGAGGCAGCAGUGGGGAAUAUUGGACAAUGGGCGAAAGCCUGAUCCAGCGACGCCGCGUGGGUGAAGAAGGCCUG